CAGUAGCCGCGGUAAUACGAGGGGGGCAAGCGUUGUUCGGAAUUAUUGGGCGUAAAGGGCGCGUAGGCGGUUUGGCAAGUUCGGUGUGAAAUCUUCGGGCUCAACUCGAAGUCUGCACCGAAAACUGCCGGGCUUGAGUAUGGGAGAGGUGAGUGGAAUUUCCGGUGUAGCGGUGAAAUGCGUAGAUAUCGGAAGGAACACCUGUGGCGAAAGCGGCUCACUGGACCAUUACUGACGCUGAGGCGCGAAAGCUAGGGGAGCAAACAGGAUUAGAUACCCCUGUAGUCCCUGUCUCUUAUAC
rnacentral:rRNA from 1 species